rnacentral:rRNA from 1 species
CGGGUGAGUAACACGUGGGUAACCUGCCCAAGAGAUCGGGAUAACACCUGGAAACAGAUGCUAAUACCGCAUAACAACGAAAACCACAUGGUUUUCGUUUCAAAGAUGGUUUUGGCUAUCACUUCAGGAUGGGCCCGCGGUGCAUUAGCUAGUUGGUAAGGUAACGGCCUGCCAAGGCGAUGAUGCAUAGCCGAGUUGAGAGACUGAUCGGCCACAUUGGGACUGAGACACGGCCCAAACUCCUACGGGAGGCAGCAGUC